GCCUGGGUGGCUCACUCAGUGGAGCAUGAGAUUUCUGAUCUCAGGGUUGUGAGUUUGAGCCCCACACUAGGGG
rnacentral:tRNA from 1 species